rnacentral:rRNA from 1 species
UCCGCAAUACGCGAAGGCGUGACGGGGCCAUCCCGAGUGCCGUCCGCUGAGGAUGGCUUUUCCCCAGUGUAGAUAGCUGGGGGAAUAAGGAGAGGGCAAGUCUGGUGUCAGCCGCCGCGGUAAUACCAGCUCUCCGAGUGGUGGGGAUGUUUAUUGGGCCUGAAGCAUCCGUAGCCAGCUGAGCAAGUCCCCAGUUAAAUCCAGCGAUUUAAUCGUUGGACUGCUGAGGAUACUGUCCGGCUAGGGGAUGAGAGAGGCCGACGGUAUUCCCGGGGUAGGGGUGAAAUCCUAUAAUCCCGGGAGGACCACCAGUGGCGAAGGCUGUCGGCUAGAACAUGCCCGACGGUGAGGGAUGAAAGCUGGGGGAGCGAACCGGAUUAGAUACCCGGGUAGUCCCAGCUGUAAACGAUGCAGGCUAGGUGUUAGGGCGGCCACGUGCCGCUCUAGUGCCGCAGGGAAGCUGUUAAGCCUGCCGCCUGGGGNUACGGCCGCAAGGCUGAAACUUAAAGGAAUUGGCGGGGGAGCACCACAAGGGUGAAGCUUGCGGUUUAAUUGGAGUCAACGC